rnacentral:misc_RNA from 1 species
UCCGUUUUGUCAACGGCAGUCCUGCCAGAGUGCUCUUGCGUAGCAACUAACAGUAAGGGUUGCGCUCGUUGCGGGACUUAACCCAACAUCUCACGACACGAGCUGACGACAACCAUGCACCACCUGUCUCUGAGUUCCUCCGAAGAGGCACAACCGGCAUUACCCAGUCUUCUCAGGAUGUCAAUCCUUGGUAAGGUUCUUCGCGUUGCGUCGAAUUAAACCACAUACUCCACUGCUUGUGCGGGCUCCCGUCAAUUCCUUUGAGUUUCAACCUUGCGGCCGUACUCCCCAGGUGGAACACUUAUUGCGUUAGCUGCGGCACGGAAGAUAACUCCCCCACACCUAGUGUUCAUCGUUUAGGGCGUGGACUAC